rnacentral:lncRNA from 1 species
GCUGACAAAUGAUAUCAAAAUUAAUUUAUAUACGCAUGCAACAGUUUCCGGCUAUAUAGAUUAUAAUUUAUACUGUAUAUACAGGCAUACAGCCUUUUACAGAUUAUACUUUCAUAUAUAACAAUAUACGUGCAGCUGUCUGUUUUUGGCUACAAAGAUUAAUUGUGGUGCUCCGUCCGUCUGUACGUAUAAUAAUAUAUAGGCCUUAUUCUUAAUGUACAAACUUGCCAUAAAUCAACUAAACUGAUCGAGUUUCUCUUAAAUUGUCCUAACUAACGUCGCUUAAGCCACGGUCAAACGAGGAUGAGAGUUGAUGAGUUGGCAGUCACGCAUUGCACUAAAUCACUGAAUAAUGAGAUCUCGAUAGUGUUGGCCGUUGGGAAAGCAUUGAAAGUUUGAAACAGCUAACCAAGGUCGCGUUACCGUCCAACUCUCAUGCACUCUCAUCUUCAUUUGAUCCAACUUUAAACUUGUAACUCUCGUACCAUACGGCGAGUUAUCAUCCAAGAGUCGGCCUUUUCAUUGUAGCAAUGAAACUUUAGACUAUAUAUGAAAAGUUGCUUUGCUUUGUAAUAUUCGGGCCUCAAUGAUAUUGUCAUCAGUCUAAUAUUAAGGAACCCAGAGAGGAUAUAAUUUUGACUGAAGAACGUAAAGAACGUAACAGUCGUCAUAGAUUAGCUAUGUAACAUGCUUACAUGCAUGAUGAUUUCAGAACACUCUAGAAUUGCAUAAUUGCACUAAAUGCAUGUUAUACUAAAAGAACUGUCGAGAUGAUCGUUUUGCGCACGUAUGACGUGUAUAGAUGUGUCAGUACUUGAGUUAGCACUUUGACGCCCGCAUUUUCGCUGGGUGUAACAUUUUGUGGGUUGUGGUCUACAGGAGGUCAUCAUGUAUAAAUUUGGCCCGCCAAAAUCCUGCCCGUUGCAAAUCAGGCCCCCCAUAAAACUGAGGGCCUGCCACGCAGGCUAUGCUAAGUAUACUAACUUCAACUAAGCAAAGGACUGGGACUAGGACGUAGUCCUAAAUAAAUAAACUUCCACUUAAGAUUCUCACGACGUAGACAUUUAAACUAUAAAUAUUUACAUACUUUUGAAAAUGAAUUUAAAAGAGACGUGUGAAUCCAUUACCGUUUGCUAUGCUCUUGUAUCCACGACGGCAAAACUCUUGUGAGGUUGUCGACGUUUGGUGGACGACGAGCAAAUCGAAAGAGAGACACAUGCACACUUCAAAAACUAUUGCCAAUUUACUUCCGAUUGCCACCCUAAAAAUAUGACGUCGUUGAUAUUGACUUAUUGAGCUAUCUACUUAUUUAGGACGACAUCCUAGUCCCAGUCUUCUGCUUAGCCCUGACGUCCUAGCUGACGUCGACGUCGUAGAUCUUAAGCUACUAAAUAAUUCAUGAGGAAAACACAAAGGUGUCAAAGAAAAAUCAUAAGCGUGUCGUAUCUUUAUAUGUGAUAGAGAUUUCCUUUGAUUUACAUAGUACAUAAAUAGCCGAAUGACAAUGAUAAUUGUAUACCUGACAAGACGAUGUUAUGUUAUAUUAUAUCUGUUUUGUAAAUAUACAUGCAGCAUUGAAUAUUUGAACGUAUGUAUAUGAAUGGUAUAAAAAUAAAGAUACAACAUACUCUCUCGUUGUACGUUGAAUCGUAGCAGGAUACCUGCAAGACUGUAACUGAAUAGCGAUAUGCAUAGGUGCAGAAACUAUCAUUUGUGUAACUUACACUGAGUCGAAAGAACUAAUUGAUGAUAAUAUUCUGGGGUAAUUGGUGUCCACUCUCCGCAGAGGCUUCUUAAAGCAAGAUUGCAUGGGCAGGCAUAGGACGGAGCGCGGGAGCACUUCCGCACUCCAGUCCUCUUCCUCUCCCCGCGCGCCCAUCCCUAUAUUUAAGAAUAAUUUACCCUUGUUACCCUGCUUUAUACCACGACUAGAAGCAUUGAAAAGCACAGAAUAGGGAUGCUAUAGAAGCCUCUGCAGAGGGGACUGCCUCAAGCAUAAAGUCCUGUAUUAAAAUUGAUCUUUCUUAAUCUUAAUCUAGCAAUACUUAAAUGGUCUCGUGCUGUACUAGUGAGGACUAGGUUCUUCUGUAUCAUAGCGUGCAUGGUCACUGUAGUGUGGUAUAAUAUCCAGUAUGCAUCAAAUAAUUUGAGAUUAUGUGGUGGAUCUGUUAUUGUUUUACACCAUUGUGGAUUGUCCUCCUAAAGAGAAAAUGUGGUUUCCUUAAUGAUUUGAAUCAAAACAACUACCUCUUUCUAGUUUCGCAGAGGUUCGCAUUAAGUUUUUGAAGAGGGAGAAGAGAGCACGCAGAGAGUAAUGGGAAGAGAACGGGCGCCUGAAAGGGCGUUUCUUUCCAUUUCCCCCAUUAAAGGCAUGCUUACAU